rnacentral:rRNA from 1 species
AACGAACGCUGGCGGCAUGCCUAACACAUGCAAGUCGAACGAGACCUUCGGGUCUAGUGGCGCACGGGUGCGUAACGCGUGGGAACCUGCCCUUAGGUUCGGAAUAACUCCCCGAAAGGGGUGCUAAUACCGGAUAAUGUCUUCGGACCAAAGAUUUAUCGCCUUUGGAUGGGCCCGCGUUGGAUUAGCUAGUUGGUAGGGUAAAAGCCUACCAAGGCGACGAUCCAUAGCUGGUCUGAGAGGAUGAUCAGCCACACUGGGACUGAGACACGGCCCAGACUCCUACGGGAGGAAGCAGUGGGGAAUAUUGGAAAAUGGGCGAAAGCCUGAUCCAGCAAUGGCGGGUGAGUGAUGAAGGCCUUAGGGUUGUAAAGCUCUUUUAAACGGGAUGAUAAUGACAGUACCGGGAGAAUAAGCACCGGCUAACUCCGUG